rnacentral:lncRNA from 1 species
CGGCCCCUUACAUAUUAUUGCCUAUCAGUGCGGGAGGGUUGCUCGUCCCCAUCACAACUCACAACACUAUCUCUUCUGACGAGGAAACUGCCGAAUUCCUGGACGAAAAAGGGAUAGCAAUUUUUACGUAAUGACUAUAAUAUUAAAGCAUAAAAUUUAUUUCUACAUCUAAUAAAAGAACAAAGAAAGAUAUAAGUGAUGGACUGAUUGAUCGGUAUUUCACAAUACCAGCUCGUUCCCUUCAUUCUUUUCCGAAAGGUCAUCUGGGUACGUUUAAUACGAACGACACGUGAAGAGGUUGAUACGAGGAUAACGCAAAAUGUAUCCUGUUUCCCAUGAUAGUCGAGGAUCGAGAACGCAUUUCAGAGCAUGUAAUCGUUGGGGCGUCACAGUUGGAAGUAUAUGGCGGCAUUUUGGAGCGUCGAGACGCCGGACGUCGCAAUCCAAGCAUCCCCGCCCCCUUCUCUUUCUCUUCCCUAACCUUUUCGUUUCUUUUCUUUUCCAAGCUUGCUUUCCUUGUCCACCAUUGUGAUGGUAAUGUUUCUUAGGCAGGGCCGUAUUCUCUUAUGGAAAAACGCGUC